AGUCUGGUGCCAGCAGCCGCGGUAAUUCCAGCUCUCAAAAUGCAUAGAAUCAUUGCUGCGGUUAAAAAGCUCGUAGUUGGAUCUGUGCUGGCGGGUCGGCCCACCUUCGGGUGCGCACUGAUUUCGCCGGCUUUCCUGCUGUAUUUGGCCCUGUGCCUUUCAACGGGUGCAGUGUCCAGUGCAGCAAGUUUACCUUGAACAAAUCAGAGUGCUUCAAACAGGCGUUUCGCUUGAAUGUUCGUGCAUGGAAUAAUAGAAGAGGAUUUCGGUUCUAUUUUAUUGGUCUUAUAGACUGAGAUAAUGGUUAACAGAGACUAACGGGGGCAUUAGUAUUGCUACGUGAGAGGUGAAAUUCUUGGACCGUAGCAAGACGCACUACAGCGAAAGCAUUUGCCAAGAAAGUCUUCAUUAAUCAAGAACGAAAGUCAGAGGUUCGAAGGCGAUCAGAUACCGCCCUAGUUCUGACCGUAAACGAUGCCAACUAGUGAUCCGCCGGUGGAACAUUCGCCCUGGUGGGGAACUUCCCGGAAACGAAAGUCUUCCGGUUCCGGGGGAAGUAUGGUUGCAAAGCUGAAACUUAAAGGAAUUGACGGAAGGGCACCACCAGGAGUGGAGCCUGCGGCUUAAUUUGACCCAACACGGGAAAACUCACCCGGCCCGGUCACCGUAAGGAUUGACAGAUUGAUAGCUCUUUCAUGAUUCGGUGGAUGGUGGUGCAUGGCCGUUCUUAGUUCGUGGAGCGAUUUGUCUGGUUUAUUCCGAUAACGAGCGAGACUCUGGCCUACUAAAUAGUUUACACAUUGCUUCUGUGUGCAUAACUUCUUAGAGGGAUUUUCGGUGUUCAGCCGCAAGAAAUUGAGCAAUAACAGGUCUGUGAUGCCCUUAGAUGUCCGGGGCUGCACGCGCGCUACACUGGCAAAAUCAGCGUGCUUGUCCUUCCCCGAAAGGGGUUGGUAAACUCGUGAAAAUUUGCCGUGAUUGGGAUCGGAAAUUGCAAUUAUUUUCCGUGAACGAGGAAUUCCAAGUAAGUGCGAGUCAUCAACUCGCGUUGAUUACGUCCCUGCCCUUUGUACACACCGCCCGUCGCUGCCCGGGACUGAGCCGUUUCGAGAAACUUGGAGACCGCUGAUCUGGUAACUUCGAUUGCCAUUUUGGUGGGAACCAAUUUAA
rnacentral:rRNA from 1 species